AAUGGCGAAAUCAGCGUUAAAGACUACGUCCGAGGAAGAAUGGGGGGCACAAAGUCUAUGAGUGUGAACGCUGAGUUGGACGUAUUUUGCACGUACAAAACGGAGCCACGCUGUUACUGAUGUUCCGGAUGGCACAUUGCCUGGCUGUGUGGCUGUUCGAUGGUGCAGUCGAACUGCACACAUGGAGCCACUCAACCCCUCCUGGGACUGCAGGAGGAUUGACGUACCAUUAAGAAAUCGCUUUGCUGCAUCCUUGAUGGUUGUUCAGGAGGCUCUACUUCUUCUGCUUCUGGGUCUGGCUCAGAAUCAGUGACUCGAUUGUGCAAUAGCACAUCUGUUUGCACCCAUUUUCAUGUGUAUAAAGUGUAAACACUGAGUUGGAGGGUCACAGCUAGCAGCAGCUUAUUUGCAUUAUAGUGCGGUGUUUUGACAUCAGAAUGAGAUGAUGUCAAAACACCUCAUUCUAGAGGCAGAACUGACCUGGUGAAAUCUCACCUUACCACUUGAUUUUUUUCCUUUUUCUUUUUUUGUUUGUUUUUUAUUUUUGUUCUUUGCAAAAAAAUUUAAUGAACAUGAUUAUUUUUGCAUAGCCCACAGCCCUAACAUAACUUGUUCAAAGAAGCAUAAGUCUCCCUUAACUUAACUACUAGUGUGUACUAGCUUCCUCUUUUAAGAGGUUUCUUAAAAAAUUAAUUGGCUCCUACCACACUGAUGUAAUUUGGAAAAUAUAUAAGCUGAUAUUUUUAUUCAAAUUUUGCUAAAAGUAACAGGAGGUAGAGGAGGGAAACUCAGAAGAGAGGAAGCUUCUUAAAGGAAAGAGUGCCUCUGAAACUUCAGAGCUGCAGUUAUCUUCUGCAUGGGUGGAAACUAGAUUCCCCGUGGACAGAAAAUGAUUUCUCAAAGAUUGCAGGGCACAGAGCCAUUUUUAAAGCUGACAGUUCUUUGAUCCAGUGGUUCGACUUGAUUUGUCUAUGAUUAAUGUGGAUUUUGGUUCUCCAUGCGGAUACACCACACACACACACACACACACACCCACACACACACCCACACAGCUCCGGCACUCAUUUUGUACUCCAACUCGGCUUCCACACUGGGGGACUAAAUAAGAGAGAGACACCCACACAGAUCUCCUGAACGCAGCAUCUCCUUGCUAUAGGAAGCAAAGUUUGUUUUUCUUCAACUUUCCUGUAGAUCACGGAAAGUGAAUAUCACCCUAAAGGCAAACGCAAGACAGUAAAACUAUUUUAGCAGUAUUUUAUAUGUAGACAUUCUCUUUUUAUUUCAAAUACCUUUCCCAUCAAAACAUUUUUUUUUCCCAUCAGCUGUAUUUCUAUACAGAGUUAAAAGCCCUUUAUUAUUCAUUCAAGUGCAAUGAAUAUAUUUUUUGGGGUUUUUUAUUAUGGAAAGUCUCAUCCAGCAAUUGAUAAAUAGCGUCCCCAACUAUUUUAAAUAACCUUCCUGCUGUUCAGCAAUUAUGUCAAAAGAUAAAAUCUAAACUAAGCUCCAGUCUCUUCCACAAUGGGCACCUUUAAAAUGAUGCAAUGCAGAAAAUGUCCAUACAAUCUCAAUCUAAACCUCUGUGAAAGCAAAGUACAAAAUUAUGGAGGGGCUUUUUGCAUCAUAGUUUCUUUUUAUUAUAUUGUAUUCCUCUGCAGGUAAUCCUUCUGAAGGUUUUAGUGUCCGGCUCUUCUGGAUUCUUACUGACUAUAGGCCAAAAAGUGUAAGAGUAACUAUAUAAGACAUUUAUGGAGUCUGCUGAUUCCUUCACAGUAGGUUUCCUUAGUAAAAAGGGCAUCAGAGUUGAAAUAGUCAUAAAGACUACUUAUAUCUGGAUCUAGAGACUUUCUGCAUAGUAAACAUCAGCAGUCUUCCAUUUGAAUUUAAACCUGCCCUUUGGGAUGCUGCUGUCUGAGUUACUGGACUGAGUUUGACCUCGAGUAAAAAAAAAUAAGCGUUCAAUGAUGCUGCUAGAGACAAAAUUCAUAAUUAAACCAUGUGUGUUUUAUUAAUUAUUGCUAAAGGCUGUUCUAAAUUCUUAUGAUAACUUGGUUUUAUAUAUUAGAGCAUUUUAAAAAGUGAGAUGUAUUUGUACAUCUGACUGCUGGAGUCGGGGCCUCGAGACAUGAAUCUCACUUCACAUCACUGAUCACUCAACUGAUCAAAGCUCCAAGGACUCCGAAGACUUUGAGAGUUUUCCUGAAAGCCUUUAUGGCAGUGAUCUCCAAGCCCUCUUGAGGUGGGAAAAUAUUAGUAUAAAGUCCUUUAAGUUGGCCUGUUGGGAUCACAUCAGAGGGCCGACCCCAGUUUAACUCUGAUGGGAGAUGCUCACGUCUUCAGGUGACCUUGUCUGGCUGCGAUUAUCAGCCAGACAAGGUAUUGUUUGGCAAAAUCUCCCACCUUCAGGUCUCCCUUCCUACUCAGCCACAAGAUUGUCGAACAAACUAGUGGUCAACUAAUGCUGGAUAUGUGUCCUAGACAUAGCUUAGAGUUGUAAGUCCACCUCAUCUAAACUCAUCAAAUAGGAGAAAUUGGUUUUCAAACAGAAUCGCAGUGGGGAAAAAAAUUCACUGCAGUCUUUGACCAAUCAAAAUAAUUGCUCUUUUAUACUUUGUCAAAGCAAUACAUUAUGACAUUAGGAUUUAAAUAAUUUAGGUCAAAUAAAAUCAUCAAAUAGGGCAUGACAUGGUGUCACAUCCUGAAAAUCUCUAAUGCUAUACCUCUAUCUUCUUUUCACACUUCACUGUCGGUGCCAUUGCCAGUAAAACAUCAAAUUUCCGAAUGCAUUAAUUAGUUGAGGCUUUAUUGAUUUAAUUGUCUCUGUUGCUGUUGUUGAAGUGUUGAACUAAAACACAUUUUGAUGAGUCCAAAGGUUCACGUUCUCAAGCUUGACCAUCAAAUGCAACACUCAGCAACUGAAAAGAUAAACAAAAGGAGACACUUGAGCAAAACAAGGAAACAAAGAUUUUUUUUUUUCGCCUUAUAGAUGUGAUGUGAUGGGAUGGAUGGCCUAGAUAAAGCUAUCUCCUGUGGCAAAUGCUGAAAUUAAUUCCAUACCGCUUCGGCCUCUGUCCCAGUCGACAAGCUCGUACAGGAGAAGAAAGAAUGGGGGCAUCUUGACAGAGCUCUACAGAGCAGUAAGCCCAUUAACAGUAAACCAGCACUGUAAUGAUACUGGAAGGAACAGUUAGGGGUUGAGAAUUAUGCAGAGUUUCUGAGUAUUUAUGUGUUGUGAGCUGUUCAAGAAAGCAAAGGGGAUCAGAAAAGGUUCCUUAACUCCAACCAGCUGCCGCACGCUCACCAAACGGAAAAGAAAACUGAGCUUUGGGGUAAAAUUUGUUGUCUCACAUUGUGACUUAAUUCAAAUUCAUCAAAGGGCAAGCAAGAAGAUAGUAAAGUAUUGAAUGAAUUACAAGAUAACUGCUGAGGCUUUUAGAUGUGGUAAGGUGCAAUGCACUGACUUUCUUAUGGGAAACAGGAAGAUGAGUAGGAGUAUUGGGAGAGCAAUUCGUUGGUAAUUUGGUGAAACUCCUAAUAGCAGCAGUCAAAUUGCUUAUGGAAAAGACAAGUCGUUCUAGCUGCAAUACAUUUAACCAUAAAAUUGCGCAAAUGGGAACUACAACAGUAAGUUGACUGGAAACACGGCAGUUCUCAAAGGGAUUUUGUUCAAAGUUGAUGCCCUAUAUGAGGUGAUUUUUCAGCCAUAUCAAAAUUUGCGUUUUUUUUGUUAAACAGUCAGUGGUGUCUUUGGACAUUGCACAGUUUUCUCCACCAGAGGUUUCACAUCCUUGCACAGUUAAUCAAAAGUCAGGUUUGUCAUUUAAAAGUGUUGAAUCCAUAAUAGCUUUUCUGUAAAAUUGUUGUAGACAAAUUCCCUCAAAGGUUUUAUACAUAACUGCUUCCAUGUAUAAAGGGCUUGUUUCCAUAGUCACUGUAAUGCCUUGAGUUUAUCUUCAGUAUUAUUGAUUACUGCAGCAGGGUCUUCGAGUGUCUGUCAAUCAAAAAACUGCAGCUAAUCCAAAAUGUAACUGCUUGCAUUCUCAUUAAAACUAGAAAAUUUGAGCACAUCCCCCUGGUUUAAAGCUUACACUGGCUCCCCAUAUUUCAGUUUUUAAUUUAUAAAUUACUCAAUGGUUUAGCACCAAAGUACACAAGAUUAGUUGAUUUUGUAUCAUUCAGAACACUCAGAUCUUCUGGUUCAAGUCUCUGCUGCAUCUCCAGAGUCAGAUCUAAGCAUGGUAAAGUUUCUAAACUCCAGUAAUCUAGAACAAAGUUCCAGAAAACUGAAUGAAUGAUGAGCUGAAAGAUUGGUCACGUGACUCUUUAAAAUUACUCUUGACAAUAUGAGGAAGAGGAGGAGGACGGCGGCAUUUGAGAAAAUUUUACUUUUCUGCUUGGUUGCUGUUUUAUGUCCUUAACAUAAUUGUUUAUUGUGCUAUUCUUUUUAUAAAGUAUUUCAAGGUGAAAAAGAUGCUUGUGUCAGAAUAAAUUUUGUAACAAUGA